UGAUUCCAAGGAAGGGAUGAUGCUGAUUGAGACUCGAGAAAAGGAUUCUGAGCCUCUGGGCUCUGAAGGAGCCACUCGGUCCCUGACCUUCCUCGAGGCAGA
rnacentral:snoRNA from 1 species